rnacentral:rRNA from 1 species
GUGCCAGCAGCCGCGGUAAUACGGGGGGUGCGAGCGUUGUCCGGAAUCACUGGGCGUAAAGGGCGCGUAGGUGGUCUUGUAAGUCUGCGGUGAAAGCCCGGGGCUCAACCCCGGGUCUGCCGCGGAUACUGUGAGACUUGAGUGCUGUAGAGGCUGGUAGAAUGCCGGGUGUAGCGGUGGAAUGCGUAGAGAUCCGGCAGAAGACCGGUGGCGAAGGCGGCCAGCUGGGCAGCAACUGACACUGAGGCGCGACAGCGUGGGGAGCAAACAGGAUUAGAUACUCCGGUAGUCC